rnacentral:lncRNA from 1 species
AGAGAUCAAGGGGCUGGCCGAAUGGUUCAAGCUAAUUCCAAAGAUCCAUUACAAGGAAUUGGAGGUCCAAUGACUAGAGCAAGGGCAAAACAAAUGAAAGAAGCUUUAUAUGGACUAGUCAUGGAAAUUCAAGAGAAGGAGGCUGCUCUAGAAGACUCUAAGGCUUCACCAAGAUUGAUCACUUAUCUUUACAUAGUAAAUGCUGAAGAACAAAG